GGGCCUGUAGCUUAGCUUGGAUAUAGCACCGGUCUUAUAAGCCGGAGGUCGGGGGUUCAAAUCCCCUCAGGCCCA
rnacentral:tRNA from 1 species